rnacentral:rRNA from 1 species
ACUUAGUGGCGGACGGGUGAGUAACGCGUGGGUAACCUGGCCCAUACAGGGGGAUAACACUUAGAAAUAGGUGCUAAUACCGCAUAACAACAGAAAGCGCAUGCUUUUUGUUUGAAAACCAAGGUGGUAUGGGAUGGACCCGCGUCUGAUUAGCUGGUUGGCGGGGUAAAGGCCCACCAAGGCGACGAUCAGUAGCCGGCCUGAGAGGGUGGACGGCCACAUUGGGACUGAGACACGGCCCAGACUCCUACGGGAGGCAGCAG